rnacentral:rRNA from 1 species
AUUGAACGCUGGCGGCAUGCCUUACACAUGCAAGUCGAACGGCAGCACGGGUGCUUGCACCUGGUGGCGAGUGGCGAACGGGUGAGUAAUGCACCGGAACGUACCCGGAAGUGGGGGAUAACGUAGCGAAAGUUACGCUAAUACCGCAUAUUCUGUGAGCAGGAAAGAGGGGGAUCGCAAGACCUCUCGCUUUCGGAGCGGCCGAUGUCGGAUUAGCUAGUUGGCGGGGUAAGAGCCCACCAAGGCGACGAUCCGUAGCGGGUCUGAGAGGAUGAUCCGCCACACUGGGACUGAGACACGGCCCAGACUCCUACGGGAGGCAGCAGUGGGGAAUUUUGGACAAUGGGCGCAAGCCUGAUCCAGCCAUGCCGCGUGAGUGAAGAAGGCCUUCGGGUUGUAAAGCUCUUUCGGCUGGGAAGAAAUCGCAUCUCCUAAUACGGGGUGUGGAUGACGGUACCAGCAUAAGAAGCACCGGCUAACUACGUGCCAGCCGCCGCGGUAAGAC